rnacentral:misc_RNA from 1 species
AAAAGUCUCUGCACAUCAACGAACUGUUACUUAAUCGCUCUAUCUGUGGCUGACCUUGGUUUCCUCGUUGUAUUGUUUCCACGAUUUUUCGAGCGAUUUGUGACUAACGAACAGGGCUUUCUUUUCGGAAUCUUUUUCAACUAUGCGAGGAUUCUUCUGACGACCUUUCUCAGCGCGUCGGUGUGGAUAAAUGUGGUUCUCGCGGUGGAGCGAUACAUUGCCAUUGUUCAUCCUUUGAGAGCAAAUAUGAUCUGUUCCAUCCGGAGGGCGAGAUUUGUCAUCGUCUCUGUUUUUGUCUAUUCCUUCAUUAUUCAGAUACCGUAUUUCUUUGAGUACAAAGUCGUCACUGUCACACAUGAAACAUACUGUGCACCUGCCGUCACGUACUCUCACACUGUUCCCUGGCUUUUUGUCAGUCCGGAGGACAAGGAGAUUUAUCGCUGGGUAGUCGAUUGUACUCUCUCUGCCAUCGUACCAUUUCUGUGUUUGUUGGUAUUAAACACAAGGCUGAUUUACGAAAUCAGAGUCUCCACAAAAUAUAUCAGAAAUAAUGUUGGAUUGGACCAUUCGAUGCAAAGAGUGUUGUCAAACGAACAACUGAAAAUAUCGGUAAUGCUGGUUUGUUUGAUAAUCAUUUUCUUUGUUUGUGAAGCCCCGUAUGUAGUUAUGAAUGCAUUUUUAAAGCAGAGUGUUAACACACAGGAGGUUUACAUUUUCUGGUACAUAGCUAUAUUCCUUGUAGCUCUGAAAUCGACGUUUAAUUUCAUAUUGUACUGUUGGUUCAGUGAAAGAUUCUGGGAAACGUUGAAACAGAAACUGUGUCUAACUCUUUGUAAUGAAGGUCGUAAAAACUUUAGUACAUCAAGGACGUCCAAUUGCAGUGGCAUAGUGAUGACGUCAAAUGGAAGCAAACGACGUCAUGACUUGCCGGAACAUGUUGUAUAAUAAAAGAAUUCUACAAAUAGAUUGCUACAAUCAUGUUAAUACAUUACACCAAAGCUUUAACAUAGCAUCCUCUGCAUGUUCAGGUCAAAGUCUCAAAUAGAAAAAAUUCCUUUCCCGACCAUGUAUGAUUAUAUAAACCAAAGAAUUUACAUUGUAUUUGUUUUUAUCAAUUGUCCUGUUGUCAAAAUGUGUAUCAUUGAUAUCCUAGUAUUAUUGUUUAUGUAAGAAUAGAUGUACUUGUAGUUAGUAUUGUUUAUUUGAAAUAAAUAACAAUCU